GGCCUGAGGUGCUGAAGAUGCACCUGGAGACAUGGUCGUCCUGCUGGAGAUGGUGGGCGUCUACAAUGGCAAGACCUUCAGCCAGGUAGAAACCUAGCGAGAGAUGACUGGCCACUACCUAGAAACGUUUCUAACAAAUCACUGUAAAGUAUGAGGUUUUCUGAGAGUUUUCGCUCAACCUCUAAGAGAUGACUUUCCUAGACUCCAGCGGAAUGAGAAUGAACCUCAAGAAUCUGAGUACUUUAACUGCAAAUUACAAAUCACGUAAUAAUUAUGACAACAAAAGAGAAAUAACACAU